rnacentral:rRNA from 1 species
GCAGUCGACGAUGAAGCCGGAGCUUGCUCUGGUGGAUUAGUGGCGAACGGGUGAGUAACACGUGAGUAACCUGCCCUUGACUCUGGAAUAAGCGUUGGAAACGACGUCUAAUACUGGAUACGAGCUUCAGCCGCAUGGCUAGGAGCUGGAAAGAAUUUCGGUCAAGGAUGGACUCGCGGCCUAUCAGGUAGUUGGUGAGGUAAUAGCUCACCAAGCCUACGACGGGUAGCCGGCCUGAGAGGGUGACCGGCCACACUGGAACUGAGACACGGUCCAGACUCCUACGGGAGGCAGCAGUGGGGAAUAUUGCACAAUGGGCGCAAGCCUGAUGCAGCAACGCCGCGUGAGGGACGACGGCCUUCGGGUUGUAAACCUCUUUUAGUAGGGAAGAAGCGAAAGUGACGGUACCUGCAGAAAAAGCACCGGCUAACUACGUGCCAGCAGCCGCGGUAAUACGUAGGGUGCAAGCGUUAUCCGGAAUUAUUGGGCGUAAAGAGCUCGUAGGCGGUUUGUCGCGUCUGCUGUGAAAACUGGGGGCUCAACCCCCAGCCUGCAGUGGGUACGGGCAGACUAGAGUGCGGUAGGGGAGAUUGGAAUUCCUGGUGUAGCGGUGGAAUGCGCAGAUAUCAGGAGGAACACCAAUGGCGAAGGCAGAUCUCUGGGCCGUUACUGACGCUGAGGAGCGAAAGCAUGGGGAGCGAACAGGAUUAGAUACCCUGGUAGUCCAUGCCGUAAACGUUGGGAACUAGAUGUAGGGGCCAUUCCACGGUUUCUGUGUCGCAGCUAACGCAUUAAGUUCCCCGCCUGGGGAGUACGGCCGCAAGGCUAAAACUCAAAGGAAUUGACGGGGGCCCGCACAAGCGGCGGAGCAUGCGGAUUAAUUCGAUGCAACGCGAAGAACCUUACCAAGACUUGACAUAUACGAAAACGGGCUAGAAAUAGUCAACUCUUUGGACACUCGUAAACAGGUGGUGCAUGGUUGUCGUCAGCUCGUGUCGUGAGAUGUUGGGUUAAGUCCCGCAACGAAGGGCAACCCUCGUUCUUUGUUGCCAGCACGUAAUGGUGGGAACUCAAA